rnacentral:rRNA from 2 species
AGACCAAAGAGGGGGACCUUCGGGCCUCUUGCCAUCGGAUGUGCCCAGAUGGGAUUAGCUAGUAGGUGGGGUAACGGCUCACCUAGGCGACGAUCCCUAGCUGGUCUGAGAGGAUGACCAGCCACACUGGAACUGAGACACGGUCCAGACUCCUACGGGAGGCAGCAGUGGGGAAUAUUGCACAAUGGGCGCAAGCCUGAUGCAGCCAUGCCGCGUGUAUGAAGAAGGCCUUCGGGUUGUAAAGUACUUUCAGCGGGGAGGAAGGGAGUAAAGUUAAUACCUUUGCUCAUUGACGUUACCCGCAGAAGAAGCACCGGCUAACUCCGUGCCAGCAGCCGCGGUAAUACGGAGGGUGCAAGCGUUAAUCGGAAUUACUGGGCGUAAAGCGCACGCAGGCGGUUUGUUAAGUCAGAUGUGAAAUCCCCGGGCUCAACCUGGGAACUGCAUCUGAUACUGGCAAGCUUGAGUCUCGUAGAGGGGGGUAGAAUUCCAGGUGUAGCGGUGAAAUGCGUAGAGAUCUGGAGGAAUACCGGUGGCGAAGGCGGCCCCCUGGACGAAGACUGACGCUCAGGUGCGAAAGCGUGGGGAGCAAACAGGAUU